GCCUCCCGAUCCGAGGUGCUGCUGUUCGCGGGUUCGAGUCCGGGCGUGUGCAGGGCUGAAUCGCGCAGGUUACACAGGCAGUGAUAGAUCUGGGGCUAUUCCAAAAACAUCGGGGGCUAUAGUCCUGAAUGCCCAGGCCUAACGACGCCACUGAUGUCAGAUACAGGAUAUGCAGCAGGAUAAGCCAGUCGAGUGGGAAUUGAGGACCAGCUAGGAAUGAAUAGUCUAAUGCUGCAUCAUUAGUCUUAUUCAGGCAAGUACAAAUAUAUGUAUGCAUUAUAUAAUAUUGAUGUUGUUAGUAUUUGCCAUUAUUCACUCAGUAAUGUAAUAUAAAAUUGUAGCUACACUGUAGAUCAUAGUUUUAAUAUCACAAAAUCACUGUAUGCGCUUGUGUUUUUCUGUGACGGUUCAGUAGCCUAUUGACAGUAUGUUAAUCUGCAAUAAGCAUUGAGAUGAGACGUGAAGCUGUUAUCCAUAGCCUCAUUUUGUACCUUGGCAAAGAAGAUAAUUUUUUUGAAGAUUGCCAGGUUAUUUUUUAAAUCCGUCAAUUAGCAGGGUCCCCAAAUGUAGCUACAGAGUGAGUGUUCUUUGCUUUACUUUCCAGGGAGAAAUCAUUCCAGUAGGUCAUGUUGUUCCAGCCUUCUGCUUUGAAGUGCUGAGUUCACAGCUCUCAAUCAACUUCAUGUGAUUUACGGUCUGGCAAUGAAGUCGCUAUGAAUGAUUGAAGAAAUUCUGUUUUGUCUCUCAACUCUCUUUUUUUCUUGUAAAUUGUAUGCAGGAGGACCGUCACAGUGAUGCCACGCAACACAUUCUCAAGAUCCUGGUUGUCCAUGGUGCUAAUGGAGAGGAUCCAGUGGCUGUAUCUAUCCUUCUUGAAGGCAAAGAGAUGUUACAAGGAUGCAGCAGCACUGCUAAAGCUUGCACACUGCUUAUGGGACUGAUUUAUGACCUCAACCUUGCAUACCCCCCAAACACUGGGUUACACUUUUUAGGUGUUUCAGAAACUAUUCCUAGAAAUUGAUGGGAUUAAGCUGUCCCAAAAAAAAACUCCACCGGACCCUCAGCUCAUCUACAGUAACAUAAUGAACUGAUGGACCUUCCAGAUGCAAACUUGUAGUAACAGUGGAGUACUUGUUACCAGACUUUGAGCCUAUUACACGGUGUGGCGCCCCUGGUGGUUUGACGCCUUGGGAAGUUGCCCAUUGUCCAUGCCUGCCGCCGGCCCUGCUAGCAACCAUCCCAAUUACCCUGGUGAUAUUGAUAAGAGGUCCUGAGAAACAGCCUUCCUCUUGUCACAAGCAAUUGAACAUCAGCUUUUUUUUUAUCUCACUGCACUGAUUUUAGAUUUAUU